rfam:Gorilla gorilla gorilla genomic chromosome, chr6, whole genome shotgun sequence
GCCGGGUGCGGUGGCGGGCGCUUGUAGUCCCAGCUACUUGGGAGGCUGAGGCAGGAGAAUGGUGUGAACCCGGGAGGCGGAGCUUGCAGUGAGCCGAGAUCGCGCCACUACACUCCAGCCUGGGCGACAGGGCGAGACUCCAUCUCAAAAAAAAAAAANNNNNNNNNNUUUUUUUUUUUUGAGAUGGAGUCUCGCCCUGUCGCCCAGGCUGGAGUGUAGUGGCGCGAUCUCGGCUCACUGCAAGCUCCGCCUCCCGGGUUCACACCAUUCUCCUGCCUCAG